rnacentral:rRNA from 1 species
GCGAACGGGUGAGUAACACGUGAGUAACCUGCCCUUGACUUUGGGAUAACUUCAGGAAACUGGGGCUAAUACCGGAUAGGAGCUCCUGCUGCAUGGUGGGGGUUGGAAAGUUUCGGCGGUUGGGGAUGGACUCGCGGCUUAUCAGCUUGUUGGUGGGGUAGUGGCUUACCAAGGCUUCGACGGGUAGCCGGCCUGAGAGGGUGACCGGCCACAUUGGGACUGAGAUACGGCCCAG